rnacentral:rRNA from 1 species
CCAGACUCCUACGGGAGGCAGCAGUGGGGAAUAUUGGACAAUGGGGGGAACCCUGAUCCAGCAAUGCCGCGUGUGUGAAGAAGGCCUGAGGGUUGUAAAGCACUUUCAGUGGGGAGGAGGGUUGACAGGUUAAGAGCUGGUUGACUGGACGUUACCCACAGAAGAAGCACCGGCUAACUCCGUGCCAGCAGCCGCGGUAAUACGGAGGGUGCGAGCGUUAAUCGGAAUUACUGGGCGUAAAGGGUGCGUAGGUGGUUUGAUAAGUUAUCUGUGAAAGCCCUGGGCUCAACCUGGGAACUGCAGAUAAGACUGUUGGACUCGAGUAUAGGAGAGGGUAGUGGAAUUUCCGGUGUAGCGGUGAAAUGCGUAGAGAUCGGAAGGAACACCAGUGGCGAAGGCGGCUACCUGGCCUAAUACUGACACUGAGGCACGAAAGCGUGGGGAGCAAACAGGAUUAGAUACCCUGGUAGUCCACGCUGUAAACGAUGUCAACUAGCUGUUGGUCUUAUGAAUGAGAUUAGUGGCGCAGCAAACGCGAUAAGUUGACAAGGGC